rnacentral:tRNA from 1 species
GCUCCCAUGGCGUAGUGGUCACUGCGCUCGCCUUGCACGCGGGAGACCAGGGUUCGAUUCCCGGCGGGGGGG